AGCAAAUACUUCCUGUGCCUCUACCACAUGCCAGGACCCAGCUAGGCGAUUGCCAGCUCUCAGUCCAGAGCAUGGUCUUACAGCCUUUUCUCUGCCCUGGGUAGCCUCUUCCAGACUGUAUCCGCACAGCAACGCCCCACACCCCCAGCCCCGACAUCUGCCCCAGCCCUGUCAUCCCAAACACAGAGGUCUUUGUCCGGGACUGGAUGUGGGUAUUGGGUAUGAGUGUCACAGUCUCUGCGGCCAGCUCACAAUGGCCCUUCCCACCUACUUCCCACAGCCACCCCAACCCUGUGGUCACUUUCUGAACCUCCCUAGUGGCCUCUGAUUUCUUUCUGGACAUGGCCAGCAAAAGGAAGUGGGGAGAUGACUCAGAGGUGUGAUGUGGCCUUAACAGAUGUGUCGUUGCGAUGACAUUCCCUAAGGAGGAAAUCAGGAGAGAACAGUUGGUAUCUUUGCACUACCCAGAACCCAGACGCUCCUUCCAGUCAACUCAAUUAUCUGCACCAAUGAACUGGGAAAAGAGGCACUGCUAACUAACAUGUGCUGGGAUCUGUGGAUGGACAUACUAGGCAGAGAAAAAUCUUGAGUGCAAGAAGGUGAUUUGCUGAAAGGUAACGAGCCCUAGACUGGUGGCCAGAAGACCUGCCUGCUGUCUAGGCUGGCCUCUAAAGCACCCUGGCUGUGUGGCUUUGAGUCCAUUGCCUUCUGGAUCUUGUCCCUAAAAGGGG